CUUCGUAAGUACGCAUUUGAAAUUCAGAUCCCGCGGUGCACAGUGAUACGGACAUUUCAGCAUUGUCUUCACGUUCCUCACCCUCAUGUGAACAUCCACCGAAAAUCGCUUCGUCACCUGAAUCCAUCUGCUUCACCUUCAAUCUCGUACUUCUUUCACUCUCAUCUCCAAAGUUCAUGCCAGAAACCGUAAGACAAAUGCAUCCGGAUUUACGAAGCGGCAUCGAAAAAUCGAACCCAAACCGAAAUCGCUAUCUCCGAAGUAAAUAUUAUCUUGUAUGCGGAAUCGUGGAGACAACACAGAUUGCGUUCGGAAUUCAACCGAAUCGCAAUCGAAAUAACCAAAUCACAGCAAGGAUAUGGAAGAAAAACUCACCAACCUUUGAGCUCCGUCACGGUGGCGCGAACAGGUAGCUCUAUGGAAGAGAAAAACUUGGUCUUUGAAAGGAAAUGGCAUGAAGUAAGGAAAGGAUGAAGAUGUGAAUGUUUUGGAAAUUAGUUUAACAUGUUAGGACUUGCUUGAAUUAAGUCUCCAUAGUUGAAUUUUUGUGACUCUUGAUAUGGAUUGGCAUUGGUUUUGGACUUGUGAAUCAUAGGCUAAUGAAGUGUAGAUGGUAUAGAUUGAAAACAUGUAACUUUUGUAAUCAAAAUAAAAUUGUGCCUAUAUUUGUGUAUGAAUGUUAAUGGUUGAAUAGAAAUUUAGAACUUGGAUAA